rnacentral:rRNA from 1 species
UACGUAGGGCGCGAGCGUUGUCCGGAUUUAUUGGGCGUAAAGAGCUCGUAGGCGGCUUGUCGCGUCGUCCGUGAAAACCCGCAGCUCAACUGCGGGCUUGCGGUCGAUACGGGCAGGCUGGAGUUCGGUAGGGGAGACUGGAAUUCCUGGUGUAGCGGUGAAAUGCGCAGAUAUCAGGAGGAACACCGGUGGCGAAGGCGGGUCUCUGGGCCGAUACUGACGCUGAGGAGCGAAAGCGUGGGGAGCGAACAGG